rnacentral:lncRNA from 10 species
AAACACCCAAGAAUUAUCAAUAAAAAAAUAAAUUAAAAAAAAAAAUAAAUAAAUAAAUCCAGCAAAAAUAAAAAUAAAAAAUAAAAUCCCCUUGAAUACAUUUGAGGUAAUGUUGUAGUUUUCAGCUCCUCCCACGAGAGAUUUUAUGGAGUGCCUAACUGUGCUACCCGGGUGCUGCUCCUGUCGUUAGUGGUGGCACCCAGGAGGAAUUAAAAUUACAAGAGUGUUUCCUUCCAGAUGUUGUUGCUACAGGCUCAAGGUGCUCUUUUAACUGGGACAUCAGGCUUUCUUGAAAUAGACAAGAAUUCUAGAAACAUGACAUUGUGCCUGAUUCAUCGCUUCAACUUGCCACUGACUCAUUCUCUCCUUGAUAGGUUAUUCAACAGUAACUUUAAUUACAUCAUUUACUUAUUGUUUUCUUCCUUGAUUUAUUCUCUUUCUACAAUUCUUGUUUAUCAUCUCAGUGAUUGGACCAUCUCACCUCUGAGACUUGGGUAGAAUUCUGUGGACUCUGGAAAUAGACAUGGAGGUUUUCAUGUAUCUCUGUUAAUGUGUACAAACACCCCCAGGCUUGUACACUUGAAAUACAUCAGUAGGAAGGGUAGUUCUCAAUUUGCUAGUGUUUCACACAGCUUGUCUUAUUUAAUGAUCUCAGCUGCCCUAUGAAGUAGAUACCAUCCUAUUAAAAAAUGCAGGAGCAGAGGCUCUGAGAGGGGACUGUAACUUACCCAAGAUCAUGUGGUAGAUUGCAAAACUGGUUCCAAAUCCCUACCCUUCCCUGUACGCACACCUUUUGCCAUUCAUCUGCAAUGUCCUUUUCUGAUUCUGGGCUCAGCAAUAUAACUUGCUCUGGCCAACAGGAUAACAACAGCAAAUGUGAUGUAAGCAAAAGCUUGAGAAAUACUUGUGCAACUAAUCAUGUUUGCCUUCUCUCUUGUACCUGUGCCAUUGCCAUGAGAACAUGCCUGGGCUAGGAUUAGAGACACUUGGAGCAGAGCUGAGUCAUCCCAGCUGUCCCAGUUGAGGCCAGCCUAGGUCAGUCGAUGGCAACCAAGCCCUAAGCAUGUUAGUGAGCCCAGCCAUGAUCAGCACAACCACCUAGCCAACCAUCCCAGACCUGUGAUCAAUAAAGCCUUACUAUUCCAUACCACCUAGGUUUUGUGAUUAUUUAUUUCACAGAAUUAUUAUGGCAGUAUGUAACUGAUAGAAGCGGUGUACAGGGAAGAGUAUUUGUUAGUCCGUUUUCACACUGCUGAUAAAGACAUAUGCGAGACUGAGCAAUUUACAAAAGAAAGAGGUUUAAUGGACUUACAGUUCCACGUGGCUGGGGAAGCCUCACAAUUGUGGUGAAAGGUGAAAGUCACAUCUCACAUGGCAGCAGACAAGAGAAGAAGAGCUUGUGCAGGGAAACUCCCCUUUUAAAAACCAUCAGAUCUCAUGAUACUUAUUCACUAUCAUCAGAAUAGCCUGGGAAAGACCUGUCCCCAUGAUUCAGUUACUUCCCACCGUGUCACUCCCACAACAAGUGGGAAUUCAAGAUGAGAUUUGGGUAGGGACACAGCAAAACCAUAUUAGAGCAGAUCUCUGGAAUUGGGCAGGCCAAGGUUUGAAUCCCAUCUGUUAUUUGGAGUGUGUGUUUCUUUUUGAGACUAAUCUCCUUACCCUUGAAAUGAGGUAAUAUACUUCCCUCAUAGGGUUGCUGGGAAGAUUAAACACGAGGUGAAGUAAAUAAAGCCCCAGGGACAUAAGCAAAAAAUAAUGGCUUCUCACAGCAAUGCUCCAGAACAUACAACAAGGGAAUACUGGGCCCAGUCCCAGGACUAUCCAAGUGUGAAGCCAACACCUUUUCACAUCAACUCCAAGGGCACCAUCACAUACACUAUAAUAUGAAUCAUGACCCCCGGAGUUGUGUGGAGUUUCUGCAUCUCUCCCUCCCCACUGUGGCUACCCUCAUCCAGCAACCAUCCUGUCUCUCACCGGUAUUACCGCAGCUGAGACCCAGGUCUUAAGGAAGCUGAGACCCAGGCCAGCAGGGGCCUCACAGGUAGAAUGAAGCUUGGAAAAAGAGGAGGGUGUAAGACUCUGGAUGAAGCUGAGAGAUCCUUCCAUGCUUGGCUGAGAGACUACACAGACAUGAGCUUCAGGAGACUCCAAAGCCUCGGAUCCCCUUCUAAACUAGCACUGAAUUCUGAUUGGCUGUCUUUGCCUGCCUCAGUUUGUUCCUUUUACUGAUUGGCUAGGUUCUUCUGCCCAUGGCAGAGCCCUGCUCCAGCCACCGGAUCCUCCCACCUGCCACAGUGUCACCUGGGAUUGGCUGGGCUCUGAAAGGCCAGGCUGGCUUGACUCUUGCCAUCAUCAGAUUCUUCCUCAUUAAACAAAUGAAUCACAAUCCUAAUUAAUUUGAGCAACAGAAUUUAUGUAACUACUCCCAGCAGGAUGUCUGCUCUCAGUCAGCAGAGAGAUUACUUCCUCUCUCUGGGAAAUUCCAGCCUUGCUGGUCAAUAAGCCUUAAUGAUGACUGAAAUCUCCCAUCUGUCUCUGCUCAGGGCAGGUAACCCCUACUAAGCAGACACCCAGUUGGCUCGAGGCAGUACCCCGGGCACCGGCAGGACAAGGACAACGAUCUCCCAGCCUAGAUGUGUCCUGAGCCACAUGGAGCACACAGUAGGUGUUUACUUAAGGACAGGGGCUGCCCCUUCCAGGGAAGUUCUGAACCACUUAAAACCCACAGGAAGUGUUCAAUGUCUACUUAUGGAAUAAAUGAAAGGGAGGAUGUGUCACUCAGAUACUUAUAAAAUGGUCUCAAGAUCCUAAACUCCAAGCAAGCUUCUCCAGCUCUUUCCAGCCUUUGCUCCCCCUAUUUCCCAUGACCAUAACCCAAUUCUGUCUUUUUCCUAUUUUGAACUUUCCAGACUCAGAAAUUUGGCUCUUCAUGUUCCCUGCCCUUGAACCGUCCCAGCCCUCUCUCCAAAACAGGCUUCAUGCUGGCUGCAUGGGAGGGAGGGGUAGCAAAGUGGAAAGUGUUACAGAAUUAGUGCUAAUUCUGGCUUUGUCACUUACUCAUUGUACUUCACCUCUCUGUUCUUAACUUUUCUCUCAUACAUAAACCACACGGGGUUCUUGGGAAGAUUAAAUAAGAAAACAUGGUGAAAAUGUAUUGCACAGUACUUGACUCAUUUAAUUGGUGACAGACAGUGUUUUAGGUAAUGGAGAUACAGUGGUGCUCAAGGCAGGCAAGAUUCCUGCUCCCAAAGAAUUUAAUUUCCAGGAGACAAGAAGCAAGCUAGCAAAUGUAUAAGAUAAUAGUUAGGGAACAGUACUCAGCAAAAAUAAAAAAUGUAUGGAGAGGGACUGAGGGGAGUGAGGAACUCUUUGAGGAGGUGCCACUCUGAGACCCAAAUGACAAGAAGGAAUUAACCACAUGACAUUCUAGAAAGAGGGAAAAGAGUUGCUGUUAAGAAGAUGUGGGUGUGUUAAAAAAAAAUUGCAAAGUCCCUUAGGUACGAUUGAGCUGCUAAUGAUCAAUCUGAGGCUUCUGCUCUGUGUCUUAUAGGUAAACGGGGUAAGGUUUGGUAGGACUGAAAAAUUCAUCCAGCCACCUAUCUAGGGGGUGUGAGGGUCAAGAUGUGGACCCAGGUCUUCUGCCCUUAAGAGCAGAGUGCUUGUCACUACAGCACAAAGAAGGUGCAAGAGAAAGGAAAAGUGAGUGGGAGGCGGUGAGGGAGGAACAGACUGCCUUGUCCUCCACCAGAUCUAAAUCUGUCUCCUCCUGAUGGUUGGCAGGAUUACAGGAUCUGACUCCCAUUUGGGCCUUCCACCUCCGCUGGCCUAAGCAGUCAAGUGUCAGAGAGCACUGGACCUAACAGCUCCCUCACCAGAGCAGCUGUGAUUCCUUCUUCAUUUCCAGCAGGGAAGACCCAACAACUUUUAUAAUAUGGGAUUUCUUUUAUUCUCAUGAUAAUAAUGUUCAUUGUGGAAAAUAAAAAAAAAUGAUAAAAUAAAAAUCAGCCAGAAUUCCAACUUCUGGAGAUUUUGGUGUCUUUCUGCAAAGUUCCUAUGCACAUAGAUACUUUAUAAAAUUAUGAACAUACUGUACAUACAGUUUUGGAAUAUGCCUUUUUCCUUCUGUCAUGAAAAAGUCUUCAAAUGCCUUUUAACAGCUACACAAUAGUUCACUACAUGAACCAACUCAAAUGUAACUAUUUUUGGCCUUUUGUUAUAAAUAACACAAGAACCCUCAGUCUUUGUUACAUAAUGUCCUAACAGAGUAGGGGAAAUGCUCCCCAAUCCGGUGCAAUGUCCUGUGCCCAGGGAAACCAAUU